AGUGAACGCUGGCGGUAGGCCUAACACAUGCAAGUCGAACGGCAGCACAGUAAGAGCUUGCUCUUACGGGUGGCGAGUGGCGGACGGGUGAGGAAUACAUCGGAAUCUACUUUUUCGUGGGGGAUAACGUAGGGAAACUUACGCUAAUACCGCAUACGACCUACGGGUGAAAGCAGGGGAUCUUCGGACCUUGCGCGAUUGAAUGAGCCGAUGUCGGAUUAGCUAGUUGGCGGGGUAAAGGCCCACCAAGGCGACGAUCCGUAGCUGGUCUGAGAGGAUGAUCAGCCACACUGAAACUGAGCCACGGUCCAGACUCUGAGGGGAGGCAGCAGGGGGGAAUCUGGAACAAGGGGCGCAAGCCGGACCCAGCCAUACCGGGUGGGUGAAGAAGGCCUUCGGUUUGUAAGCCCCUUUUGUUGGAAAAAAAAAGCAGCGGUUUACUCCCCCCCUGUCCUGACGGAACCAAAAAAAAAAGCCCCGGCAAACUUCGGC
rnacentral:rRNA from 1 species